rnacentral:misc_RNA from 1 species
UCUCCGUAGGUGAACCUGCGGAGGGAUCAUUACAGAGUUCAUGCCCUACCGGGUAGAUCUCCCACCCUAUGUUAUUAUUACUUUGUUGCUUUGGCGGGCCGUUAGUCUCCGGCCCGACUACCGGCCCCGGCUGGUAAGCGCCCGCCAGAGGACCCAAAACCAUGAAUAUUAGUGUCGUCUGAGUACUAUAUAAUAGUUAAAACUUUCAACAACGGAUCUCUUGGUUCUG